rnacentral:rRNA from 1 species
UACGAGGGGGGCGAGCGUUGUUCGGAAUUAUUGGGCGUAAAGGGUGCGUAGGCGGUUUGGUAAGUCUUAUGUGAAAUCUACAGGCUCAGCUUGUAGUCUGCAUGAGAAACUGCCGGGCUUGAGUAUGGGAGAGGUGAGUGGAAUUCCUGGUGUAGCGGUGAAAUGCGUAGAUAUCAGGAGGAACACCAAUGGCGAAGGCAGCUCGCUGGGACGGUACUGACGCUGAGACGCGAAAGCGUGGGGAGCAAACAGG